rnacentral:rRNA from 1 species
GAUGAACGCUGGCGGCGUGCCUAAUACAUGCAAGUCGAGCGAACAGAUAAGGAGCUUGCUCCUUUGACGUUAGCGGCGGACGGGUGAGUAACACGUGGGUAACCUACCUAUAAGACUGGGGUAACUUCGGGAAACCGGAGCUAAUACCGGAUAAUAUUUCGAACCGCAUGGUUCGAUAGUGAAAGAUGGCCCUGCUAUCACUUAUAGAUGGACCUGCGCCGUAUUAGCUAGUUGGUAAGGUAACGGCUUACCAAGGCAACGAUACGUAGCCGACCUGAGAGGGUGAUCGGCCACACUGGAACUGAGACACGGUCCAGACUCCUACGGGAGGCAGCAGUAGGGAAUCUUCCGCAAUGGGCGAAAGCCUGACGGAGCAACGCCGCGUGAGUGAUGAAGGUCUUCGGAUCGUAAAACUCUGUUAUUAGGGAAGAACAAACGUGUAAGUAACUGUGCACGUCUUGACGGUACCUAAUCAGAAAGCCACGGCUAACUACGUGCCAGCAGCCGCGGUAAUACGUAGGUGGCAAGCGUUAUCCGGAAUUAUUGGGCGUAAAGCGCGCGUAGGCGGUUUUUUAAGUCUGAUGUGAAAGCCCACGGCUCAACCGUGGAGGGUCAUUGGAAACUGGAAAACUUGAGUGCAGAAGAGGAAAGUGGAAUUCCAUGUGUAGCGGUGAAAUGCGCAGAGAUAUGGAGGAACACCAGUGGCGAAGGCGACUUUCUGGUCUGCAACUGACGCUGAUGUGCGAAAGCGUGGGGAUCAAACAGGAUUAGAUACCCUGGUAGUCCACGCCGUAAACGAUGAGUGCUAAGUGUUAGGGGGUUUCCGCCCCUUAGUGCUGCAGCUAACGCAUUAAGCACUCCGCCUGGGGAGUACGACCGCAAGGUUGAAACCCAAAGGAAUUGACGGGGACCCGCACAAGCGGUGGAGCAUGUGGUUUAAUUCGAAGCAACGCGAAGAACCUUACCAAAUCUUGACAUCCUUUGACCCUUCUAGAGAUAGAAGUUUCCCCUUCGGGGGACAAAGUGACAGGUGGUGCAUGGUUGUCGUCAGCUCGUGUCGUGAGAUGUUGGGUUAAGUCCCGCAACGAGCGCAACCCUUAAGCUUAGUUGCCAUCAUUAAGUUGGGCACUCUAAGUUGACUGCCGGUGACAAACCGGAGGAAGGUGGGGAUGACGUCAAAUCAUCAUGCCUCUUAUGAUUUGGGCUACACACGUGCUACAAUGGACAAUACAAAGGGCAGCGAAACCGCGAGGUCAAGCAAAUCCCAUAAAGUUGUUCUCAGUUCGGAUUGUAGUCUGCAACUCGACUACAUGAAGCUGGAAUCGCUAGUAAUCGUAGAUCAGCAUGCUACGGUGAAUACGUUCCCGGGUCUUGUACGCACCGCCCGUCACACCACGAGAGUUUGUAACACCCGAAGCCGGUGGAGUAACCAUUUGGGGCUAGCCGUCGAAGGUGGGACAAAUGAUUGGGGUGAAGUCGUAACAAGGUAGCCGUAUCGGAAGG